rnacentral:tRNA from 1 species
GCCGGAGUGGCGGAAUAGGCAGACGCAAGGGACUUAAAAUCCCUCACCCCGAAAGGGGUGUACCGGUUCGAUCCCGGUCUCCGGCACCA